AGGACCCUUGGAAGAAAAGAAAUCCAGAAAAAGGACCUUCCCUUUUCUCUUUCUUUCUUUCUUCUCUUUCUUUCUUUCUUCGGUUUCUUUUCUCCCAUUUCUUCACAGCACGCCUGGGCCACAGACGCCCGUCUCUUGAUCCUGAUCACAGAGGGAAUGGAAGGGAGGAGAGGACACCGGAUCUGGGCCGAACUCCAAACCACCAGAGAGAAAGGACUCCUUCCUCUCUCUUCUUCUUCUUCU
rnacentral:lncRNA from 1 species